GGGGAUAUAGCUCAGAGGCAGAGUGUUCGACUGCAGAUCGAAGAGUCCCCGGUUCAAUCCCGGGUGUCCCCU
rfam:Drosophila busckii chromosome X sequence.